rnacentral:ncRNA from 1 species
GAGGGCCGGACGAGCGGAGACGUUCACGUCCGGUUCCGUGAGCGCCUCGGGGGUAGUUCCCCGGGGCGACUCGAC